GUCCUUUAGAAUUUAUUAUUUAAGGUCUAACCUGCCCACUGAAUUAUUUUAAAUGGCCGCAGUAAAUUGACUGUGCAAAGGUAGCAUAAUCAUUAGUUUUUUAAUUAAAAGCUUGUAUGAAUGGUUUGACGAAAUAAAAUCUGUCUCUAAAUAAUAAUAAGAAUUUAAUUUUUAAGUUAAAAAGCUUAAAUUAAAAUAAAAGACGAGAAGACCCUAUAGAUCUUUAUAUUAAAUUUAAUAAUUUUGUUUAAGAUUUUUUAUAUAAUUAUUAAUUUUAUUAUUAUAUUGGGGUAAUAAGAAGAUUAAUAAAAUUCUUUUUAAUUUUUUACAAUAAUAAUUGUUUAUUUGAUCCUUAAUUUAAGAUAAUAAGAUUAAGUUACCUUAGGGAUAACAGCGUAAUUUUUUUAAAGAGUUCAUAUCGAUAAAAAAGUUUGCGACCUCGAUGUUGGAUUAAAAAUUAUUUUGGGUGUAGAAGCUUAAAAAUAUUGGUCUGUUCGACCAUUAAAUUUUU
rnacentral:rRNA from 1 species